rnacentral:rRNA from 1 species
GAUGAACGCUGGCGGCGUGCCUAAUACAUGCAAGUCGAGCGAACAGACGAGGAGCUUGCUCCUCUGACGUUAGCGGCGGACGGGUGAGUAACAUGUGGAUAACAUAACUAUAAGACAGGGAUAACUACGGGAAACCGGAGCUAAUACCGGAUAAUAUAUUGAACCGCAUGGUUCAAUAGUGAAAGACGGUUUUGCUGUCACUUAUAGCUGGAUCCGCGCCGCAUUAGCUAGUUGGUAAGGUAACGGCUUACCAAGGCAACGAUGGGUAGCCGACCUGAGAGGGUGAACGGCCACACUGGAACUGAGACACGGUCCAGACUCCUACGGAAGGCAGCGGUAGGGAAUCUUCCGCGAUGGGCGAAAGCCUGACGGAGCAACGCCGCGUGAAUGAUGAAGGUCUUCGGAUCGUAAAACUCUGUUAUUAGUGAAGAACAAAUGUGUAAGUAACUAUGCUCGUCUUGACGGUACCUGAUCAGAAAGCCACGGCUAACUACGUG